UUAAGCGACUAAGCGUACACGGUGGAUGCCCUGGCAGUCAGAGGCGAUGAAGGACGUGCUAAUCUGCGAUAAGCGUCGGUAAGGUGAUAUGAACCGUUAUAACCGGCGAUUUCCGAAUGGGGAAACCCAGUGUGUUUCGACACACUAUCAUUAACUGAAUCCAUAGGUUAAUGAGGCGAACCGGGGGAACUGAAACAUCUAAGUACCCCGAGGAAAAGAAAUCAACCGAGAUUCCCCCAGUAGCGGCGAGCGAACGGGGAGCAGCCCAGAGCCUGAAUCAGUGUGUGUGUUAGUGGAAGCGUCUGGAAAGGCGCGCGAUACAGGGUGACAGCCCCGUACACAAAAAUGCACAUGCUGUGAGCUCGAUGAGUAGGGCGGGACACGUGGUAUCCUGUCUGAAUAUGGGGGGACCAUCCUCCAAGGCUAAAUACUCCUGACUGACCGAUAGUGAACCAGUACCGUGAGGGAAAGGCGAAAAGAACCCCGGCGAGGGGAGUGAAAAAGAACCUGAAACCGUGUACGUACAAGCAGUGGGAGCACGCUUAGGCGUGUGACUGCGUACCUUUUGUAUAAUGGGUCAGCGACUUAUAUUCUGUAGCAAGGUUAACCGAAUAGGGGAGCCGAAGGGAAACCGAGUCUUAACUGGGCGUUAAGUUGCAGGGUAUAGACCCGAAACCCGGUGAUCUAGCCAUGGGCAGGUUGAAGGUUGGGUAACACUAACUGGAGGACCGAACCGACUAAUGUUGAAAAAUUAGCGGAUGACUUGUGGCUGGGGGUGAAAGGCCAAUCAAACCGGGAGAUAGCUGGUUCUCCCCGAAAGCUAUUUAGGUAGCGCCUCGUGAAUUCAUCUCCGGGGGUAGAGCACUGUUUCGGCAAGGGGGUCAUCCCGACUUACCAACCCGAUGCAAACUGCGAAUACCGGAGAAUGUUAUCACGGGAGACACACGGCGGGUGCUAACGUCCGUCGUGAAGAGGGAAACAACCCAGACCGCCAGCUAAGGUCCCAAAGUCAUGGUUAAGUGGGAAACGAUGUGGGAAGGCCCAGACAGCCAGGAUGUUGGCUUAGAAGCAGCCAUCAUUUAAAGAAAGCGUAAUAGCUCACUGGUCGAGUCGGCCUGCGCGGAAGAUGUAACGGGGCUAAACCAUGCACCGAAGCUGCGGCAGCGACGCUGAUGCGUUGUUGGGUAGGGGAGCGUUCUGUAAGCCUGCGAAGGUGUGCUGUGAGGCAUGCUGGAGGUAUCAGAAGUGCGAAUGCUGACAUAAGUAACGAUAAAGCGGGUGAAAAGCCCGCUCGCCGGAAGACCAAGGGUUCCUGUCCAACGUUAAUCGGGGCAGGGUGAGUCGACCCCUAAGGCGAGGCCGAAAGGCGUAGUCGAUGGGAAACAGGUUAAUAUUCCUGUACUUGGUGUUACUGCGAAGGGGGGACGGAGAAGGCUAUGUUGGCCGGGCGACGGUUGUCCCGGUUUAAGCGUGUAGGCUGGUUUUCCAGGCAAAUCCGGAAAAUCAAGGCUGAGGCGUGAUGACGAGGCACUACGGUGCUGAAGCAACAAAUGCCCUGCUUCCAGGAAAAGCCUCUAAGCAUCAGGUAACAUCAAAUCGUACCCCAAACCGACACAGGUGGUCAGGUAGAGAAUACCAAGGCGCUUGAGAGAACUCGGGUGAAGGAACUAGGCAAAAUGGUGCCGUAACUUCGGGAGAAGGCACGCUGAUAUGUAGGUGAAGUCCCUCGCGGAUGGAGCUGAAAUCAGUCGAAGAUACCAGCUGGCUGCAACUGUUUAUUAAAAACACAGCACUGUGCAAACACGAAAGUGGACGUAUACGGUGUGACGCCUGCCCGGUGCCGGAAGGUUAAUUGAUGGGGUCAGCGCAAGCGAAGCUCUUGAUCGAAGCCCCGGUAAACGGCGGCCGUAACUAUAACGGUCCUAAGGUAGCGAAAUUCCUUGUCGGGUAAGUUCCGACCUGCACGAAUGGCGUAAUGAUGGCCAGGCUGUCUCCACCCGAGACUCAGUGAAAUUGAACUCGCUGUGAAGAUGCAGUGUACCCGCGGCAAGACGGAAAGACCCCGUGAACCUUUACUAUAGCUUGACACUGAACAUUGAGCCUUGAUGUGUAGGAUAGGUGGGAGGCUUUGAAGUGUGGACGCCAGUCUGCAUGGAGCCGACCUUGAAAUACCACCCUUUAAUGUUUGAUGUUCUAACGUUGACCCGUGAUCCGGGUUGCGGACAGUGUCUGGUGGGUAGUUUGACUGGGGCGGUCUCCUCCUAAAGAGUAACGGAGGAGCACGAAGGUUGGCUAAUCCUGGUCGGACAUCAGGAGGUUAGUGCAAUGGCAUAAGCCAGCUUGACUGCGAGCGUGACGGCGCGAGCAGGUGCGAAAGCAGGUCAUAGUGAUCCGGUGGUUCUGAAUGGAAGGGCCAUCGCUCAACGGAUAAAAGGUACUCCGGGGAUAACAGGCUGAUACCGCCCAAGAGUUCAUAUCGACGGCGGUGUUUGGCACCUCGAUGUCGGCUCAUCACAUCCUGGGGCUGAAGUAGGUCCCAAGGGUAUGGCUGUUCGCCAUUUAAAGUGGUACGCGAGCUGGGUUUAGAACGUCGUGAGACAGUUCGGUCCCUAUCUGCCGUGGGCGCUGGAGAACUGAGGGGGGCUGCUCCUAGUACGAGAGGACCGGAGUGGACGCAUCACUGGUGUUCGGGUUGUCAUGCCAAUGGCACUGCCCGGUAGCUAAAUGCGGAAGAGAUAAGUGCUGAAAGCAUCUAAGCACGAAACUUGCCCCGAGAUGAGUUCUCCCUGACUCCUUGAGGGUCCUGAAGGAACGUUGAAGACGACGACGUUGAUAGGCCGGGUGUGUAAGCGCAGCGAUGCGUUGAGCUAACCGGUACUAAUGAACCGUGAGGCUUAACCUU
rnacentral:rRNA from 1 species